UGGGAAGAGCUCAAUUGAAAUCUGGCGUCCUCAGGCGUCCGAGUUGUAAUCUAUAGAGGCGUUUUCCGUGCCGGACCGUGUCCAAGUUCCUUGGAACAGGAUAUCAAAGAGGGUGACAAUCCCGUACUUGACACGAUGACCGGUGCUCUGUGAUACGUCUUCUACGAGUCGAGUUGUUUGGGAAUGCAGCUCAAAAUGGGUGGUGAGUUCCAUCUAAAGCUAAAUAUUGGCGAGAGACCGAUAGCGAACAAGUACCGUGAGGGAAAGAUGAAAAGCACUUUGGAAAGAGAGUUAAACAGUACGUGAAAUUGUUGAAAGGGAAACGAUUGAAGUCAGUCGUGACUGAGAGGCUCAGCCGGUUCUGCCGGUGUAUUCCCCUCAGUCGGGUCAACAUCAGUUUUGUCCGGUGGAAAAGGGCGGUAGGAACGUGGCACCUCCGGGUGUGUUAUAGCCUGCCGUCGCAUACAUCGGGUGAGACUGAGGAAUGCAGCUCGCCUUUAUGGCCGGGGUUCGCCCACGUCCGAGCUUAGGAUGUUGACAUAAUGGCUUUAAACGACCCGUCUUGA
rnacentral:rRNA from 1 species